GAUGAACGCUGGCGGCGUGCCUAAUACAUGCAAGUCGAGCGAACAGACGAGGAGCUUGCUCCUCUGACGUUAGCGGCGGACGGGUGAGUAACACGUGGAUAACCUACCUAUAAGACUGGGAUAACUUCGGGAAACCGGAGCUAAUACCGGAUAAUAUAUUGAACCGCAUGGUUCAAUAGUGAAAGACGGUUUUGCUGUCACUUAUAGAUGGAUCCGCGCCGCAUUAGCUGGUUGGUAAGGUAACGGCUUACCAAGGCAACGAUGCGUAGCCGACCUGAGAGGGGGAUCGGCGACACUGGAGCUGGACCACGGUCCAGGCUCCUGCGGGAGGCAGCAGUAGGGAAUGUUCCGCAGUGGGCGGAAGCCUGACGGAGCAACGCCGCGUGAGUGGUGAAGGUCUUCGGAGCGUAAAACUCUGUUAUUAGGGAAGAACAAAUGUGUAAGUAACUGUGCACGGCUUGACGGUACCUAAUCAGAAAGCCACGGCUAACUACGUG
rnacentral:rRNA from 1 species